CCUACGGGCGGCAGCAGUAGGGAAUUUUCGUCAAUGGGCGCAAGCCUGAACGAGCGAUGCCGCGUGAGUGAAGAAGGCCUUCGGGUCGUAAAGCUCUGUUGCGGGGGAAAAAAGGCAGCAUCAGGAAAUGGGUGCUGACUGAUGGUGCGCGCCAGAAAGUCACGGCUAACUACGUGCCAGCAGCCGCGGUAAUACGUAGGUGGCGAGCGUUAUCCGGAAUGAUUGGGUGUAAGGGGUGCGCAGGCGGUCCUGCAAGUCUGAAGUGAAACGCAUGGGCUCAACUCAUGCAUGGCUUUGGAAACUGGAGGACUGGAGAGCAGGAGAGGGCGGUGGAACUCCAUGUGUAGCGGUAAAAUGCGUAGAUAUAAGGAAGAACACCAGUGGCGAAGGCGGCCGCCUGGACUGUUGCUGACGCUGAGGCACGAAAGCGUGGGGAGCAAAUAGGAUUAGAUACCCCUGUAGUC
rnacentral:rRNA from 1 species